GGAGAGGUGGCAGAGAUGGUUGAUCGCACCAGGUUGCUAACUUGGCAAACGGAGUAAUUCGUUUCGAGGGUUCGAAUCCCUCCCUCUCCGCCA
rnacentral:tRNA from 1 species